UGUAUAAUGGGUCAGCGACUUAUAUUCUGUAGCAAGGUUAACCGAAUAGGGGAGCCGAAGGGAAACCGAGUCUUAACUGGGCGUUAAGUUGCAGGGUAUAGACCCGAAACCCGGUGAUCUAGCCAUGGGCAGGUUGAAGGUUGGGUAACACUAACUGGAGGACCGAACCGACUAAUGUUGAAAAAUUAGCGGAUGACUUGUGGCUGGGGGUGAAAGGCCAAUCAAACCGGGAGAUAGCUGGUUCUCCCCGAAAGCUAUUUAGGUAGCGCCUCGUGAAUUCAUCUCCGGGGGUAGAGCACUGUUUCGGCAAGGGGGUCAUCCCGACUUACCAACCCGAUGCAAACUGCGAAUACCGGAGAAUGUUAUCACGGGAGACACACGGCGGGUGCUAACGUCCGUCGUGAAGAGGGAAACAACCCAGACCGCCAGCUAAGGUCCCAAAGUCAUGGUUAAGUGGGAAACGAUGUGGGAAGGCCCAGACAGCCAGGAUGUUGGCUUAGAAGCAGCCAUCAUUUAAAGAAAGCGUAAUAGCUCACUGGUCGAGUCGGCCUGCGCGGAAGAUG
rnacentral:rRNA from 1 species